rnacentral:rRNA from 1 species
UAGUGGCGAACGGGUGAGUAACACGUGGGCAAUCUGCCCUUCACUCUGGGACAAGCCCUGGAAACGGUGGUCUAAUACCGGAUAACACCUGCCCGGGCAUCUGGGUGGGUUAAAAGCUCCGGCGGUGAAGGAUGAGCCCGCGGCCUAUCAGCUUGUUGGUGAGGUAGUGGCUCACCAAGGCGACGACGGGUAGCCGGCCUGAGAGGGCGACCGGCCACACUGGGACUGAGACACGGCCCAGACUCCUACGGGAGGCAGCAGUGGGGAAUAUUGCACAAUGGGCGAAAGCCUGAUGCAGCGACGCCGCGUGAGGGAUGACGGCCUUCGGGUUGUAAACCUCUUUCAGCAGGGAAGAAGCGAAAGUGACGGUACCUGCAGAAGAAGCGCCGGCUAACUACGUGCCAGCAGCCGCGNUAAUACGUAGGGCGCAAGCGUUGUCCGGAAUUAUUGGGCGUAAAGAGCUCGUAGGCGGCUUGUCACGUCGGGUGUGAAAGCCCGGNGCUUAACCCCGGGUCUGCAUUCGAUACGGGCUAGCUAGAGUGUGGNAGGGGAGAUCGGAAUUCCU